UUGUAAUCUCUGUUCAUGAAUUUGUUGUUUGUUUUCCAGGGAAGAGUUGGAGCUGGUGCCCAGUCCGGGUUGGGAAGGGCUGGGACCAUCCCUGGAGAGGAUCUGACGUCCCCUCUGAGAAGGCUGAGGACAUCCUUUGGGACACGCUCUUCUUGCGGCAGCAGAUCUUGUGAGACAGGACACCUCUGCCUGAUCUCCCGCGGAUCCGAGGGAUCUCUGGAUCUUCACGCCAGCACCAGGACUUUGCUGCAGAAGAGCACAGAUCCCCAGCCCAGUCUGGGACACAGAACCUGUGAAAGGGCAGAAAGAUUGUGGUGUGAAUGCAGCGCCCUCAGAGCCCUUGGUGUGAGCCCGGAAAGGAAAAUCAAGCUGAGGGACAAGAUCAGUCUAAUUUGGGGACAUUGUUGGAGGUUGGAGUUGCAGUUCUGGAAGAAAUCCCUGAGGAAAUGGUGCCCCCGGGGAGAGGAAGAGGACGAGAGCAUGGGCAGCCUGCUUCAAACAUCCCCCCCAGGAGACCUGGGAUCAGUCCCUGUGCAUCCUGUAAGAAAGAUGGACACUGGAAAUGGGAUUGUCCGCAACUGAAACUUCAGAACCCUCCGAACCCUCUCGUGGCAUCACUGAAGACGACUGAGGGGGCACCAGAGGAUUCUUCCCCAUCAGAACAUCUGGUUCCAGCCAAGCUAAGCACAAUUGUUUGUGGCUGUGGGAACUUGUUCCUCUGUGUUAAAUCCGGGAAAAUGAAACUCAAGGGACAAUUCUAGAACAAUUGUCUGGUGUGCCAGGGAAUUGGGAAACUGGGCCAUUUUUAAUGCUGUGGCUUUGAAAUUGGGAAAACAGUGGUUGGCUCCCCAGUUUUUGUAUUUCCCCAAUUCCCCAAAGCCUCUGCUUGGGAGAGAUCUCUUGGCAAAAUGAAAUGCCACAAUCCAAUUGAAAAAUGGUCCAAUAUAGGUUAUUAUUGCAGAGCCUAAUUCUGGGGAAGUUUCUAGUUUUGCAUGAGAGUCUCCCAAAGCAGAAGUAAUCCAUCUGCCACCAUCACUUGGGGAUGCAGUGGUUCCAACAGGAUGGGCUGGAGAGGUGCCUCCAUGAUCCAAGAGAGCAGAACCCGUGAGAAUUCCAGAGAAACCUGGAGUGGGGUUGGUGGGGCCAAAGCAAUGUCCUUUGCAAAUAGAAAGUUGUAAGGGAUUCUCACCCUUUGUAGAACAAUUGAUGAAAUUUUGCUUGUGAAAAGAAUGUGAAUCUAAAUGGAA